CCCUUAGAUGUUCUGGGCUGCACGCGCGCUACACUGAAGCGUUCAACGAGUAUUCACCUUGCCCGGGAGGGUUGGGUAAUCUUUUGAAAACGCUUCGUGAUGGGGAUAGAUUAUUGCAAUUAUUAAUCUUCAACGAGGAAUUCCUAGUAAGCGCGAGUCAUCAGCUCGCAUUGAUUACGUCCCUGCCCUUUGUACACACCGCCCGUCGCACCUACCGAUUGAAUGGUCCGGUGAAAUCUCGGGACGGCGGCUUGGUCGCUUGCGUCCGACUGCUGAAACUUGAUUAAACCAUAUCAUUUAGAGGAAGGUGAAGUCGUAACA
rnacentral:rRNA from 1 species